CGUCUAAACACUCGCGCUCAGCGCCCGUCGUGUUAUCCCUCCUGGUGGGGCGACGCACAAGCGAGGAAGCUGCACUCCCUCGGCUGUUUCUCUCCGCAGCGUCUUUAGGGUUUUAUUGUUGCUGUCGCUGCGGGCGAGGGCAGACAUGUUAUGCCGCGAGGCAUGUGUGGACGUGUACGCGCAGUCGGAUGUAUCGAUAUUUUCAUUCGUAGUCGCUGAUGCAGGUGUUCUCUUGCUCUCUCUGAGCCAGCGUAUUUCUUGGCUAAUGAGGCAAGCGUAUUAUAGACUGCGCGGCAUGCUAGCAGACCGCGCAACCGACGGUGGCGGCGCCCGCUGUGGAGCCAAGAGGGAUUCAUAGAUGUUUGUGCAUGUGUGUGUGUGUGUGUGGUGUAAUGCUGCGGGUGAGCUAGAUCUGCGGGGGAUGUAACAUCUAGCUAAGUGUGAGACGCGGCGCUUAGCCUGGGGUAGGGUGUGGUGCUGCACGCACACGUGCAUGAGGAUUGAGUGUGUGCGGGUAUGUGUGUCGGAGAAAAAAGCAACCUGCUUUGAUCGGCUGGCAAUGCGCAUGCAUGUACACCCGCCGUCAUCUUUUCAUCGUGCUCUCACCCCUCCCUCCCUGAAUGCCUCUCUCUCCCUCGUCACUUUCCCGCCCUCUCUUUAUCAUUCCUUUUUCUCGAGCCAUCAUCACUACCGUCCCCAUCAUUAG
rnacentral:misc_RNA from 1 species